CUGAUGCCAACAGUGUGAAGGGGAGGAGAGUUAACCACACACAGAAGUUGAAAAUACAAGAUCUGGACAUGCAGCAGAUACUCACGGUCUGCCAUUGACUCUGCUUCCUUUGUCCUUGUGGGCUGGUGGCCAACAACCUUGGGGAGAAGGGAGACACACAUCUUGUUGUACUCUGGUAGCCAUGGGUCUUUCACAAGAAGAUCUCCACGUGGGAUUGUCUCUGCAUGAAAUGACCUGGCGUGAAUGUCAUCAGUAUUGCUCAACACCCUGGCUGCCUGAGUGAAAACUAGAAGGAUGAAGGCAGUGCACACAUACAUAAACUAUUGGCAUUCUGGAUGAUAGGACACUGGCCACACUGGAUCCUUGCUUGAGUGACUACGUAGACAAAGAAAGGAAUGCAGUGAAAGGAAGCAUAUGUAAUGAGAAUGUGAGCAUAGCCUGGUAGAAGAUAUCAUUCAGAGUUCAAGAAUAUCUUGACAAAGUCAUCAGAAAACUACAGAACACAAGAGGUUGAAAGUGGGGUGAAGAUCAAACCUAGGCUAUGCACUGUUGAAAGCCAAAAGGUGGGUAGGUGACUAUGUAAGUCCAGGGGCAGCCAUCUUGGACACAAAAGAAGGCAAACAUAUGUUCAUCUGAUAUAUUAAAUGAUGCAUAAUUUUCAAAAGAUUCAAAAUGUGAUUUAAAAGAUAACAAAUGACUACACAUGCUCUAUAGCAUCUAAAUGAAAGAAACUGGCACUAUAUGAGGUCAGCAAGGCUUUGAAGGGACAGGUCAGGUGCAGAGAAUGCAAACUGAAGCAGUUUGCCAAGUCAUUGGAAUCAAUUACUGAGUGUGAAUGACUUUGUCCUUUUGACUCAGCUGCUCCAUCAGCUACAUACCAAUGAGCCCAAAGGUGAAAAUAGGAGAGUGGCUACUUAGGGAGUGGUCCUGAUGAGAACAGAAGCGAGAAACUGCUCAGGUUAGUUGGGACCAUCAAAGCAACAGUUCCAAGACAUCUGUCCUGUGUCUUAUGUCUAAAAUUUAGAAGAUUAGUCUUUAUGUGAUGCUACAUAGUUUCUGCAUGUUCCUUUUGUGUGCUGAAAAAGAUGAUUCUUUGCUUACUUGGCAUAAUUCCUCUACUUUGUCUUCAAGACCUGAUAUUCUCCCAUGGUAAGCCAGAAAGCAUGGAGACUGACAAACAGCUAGCUCUACUUUGGCUGCUGUG
rnacentral:lncRNA from 1 species